rnacentral:lncRNA from 10 species
UGCAUGGAGGAAAAGCACAAACUACAUGCUGGGAAGUUGGAUGGAAUCAGUGAAUAGACUACGGUGAAUUUCAGCCUUGCUUCCAGAAUCAGGAAAUCCAAUGGAGAACCUGAAAUGGUUGGUGGGAAAAGAAGAGAGUGGAUGGAGGCUUCGCCUCAGCAUUCAGCACUGGCGUUUCUUGAGGUGGUCGGCAUUGUUCCUCGCUCCUGGGCCUGGCAGAAUGCUUGGAGGGUCAGUUGGAAAUGAAGCUUCUAUUAUCUGCGAUCUGUCUCACCCUCUAAGCUGGUCCGUCCUUACACGAAGGCUCAGCCAAGCAUGAAGAAAACUAAUUGUCCCCACUCUCUGCUCUGCUGCACACCAAACCCCCACUUGUGCUUCUCCUG